AUUUAAGUCUGUAGAUGGCACUAUUCUUAGAGCAGGGCUUAUUGCCAUUUGUGUAUUGUUAAAAGUGCUAUAUAAAUAAAGGUGACUUGAUUUGACUCGACUAUAUCUUUGUAAAAAUAUCAGUGAUACUUAUUAGUCCAACCGAUGUCCACUUUGUUGUUGAACUGUAUGAAUCUGUGCUUGUUUCUGACCUUGGAGUUCACUCUCUGCACAACUCUGAUCCAAACUAUGUGUAUGUUAAUGCUGACAAUCUCUUGGAUUACUAUCCCCUUCCAGUGUAUAAAGUGGCAGGCCUUUCUGUGGUGUGGUGUCAUUACAUCACUCAGUGUGUUCUUUUUAACUUCAGACACACAGCUUAUUCAACAAGAAAUAAAAAGAGUUCUCCCAAAAUGAGAUGUUAUCAAACUUCAAGAUGUGGUCAAUCAUCUUUUUUUUGUGGUGGGUGUUCAGAAGACACAGGACCUUGCACUAGUAGAAGUGACAGACAUUCAGGACGUCUUAUUCCCUAUACAAUAUCAAAAACUGGAAUGGAAUUCAAAUGGAAUUCAAACAAAGAGUAUGGAUACACACCUAAAAGCUUCCCACCCUUAUUGCCUGCAGAAACAAGAUACAGUUCAAAGAACUAGAUGACCUUUUGUGACAAUAACGGGGACAAUGAUGUCACACAAUAUGAGGUAGGUUGUCUCAAUAGACUUUUUGUAGGACCUUUAAACAGUGAGCUAGGUGGCAACAACCAGUUAUAACCCUAGUAACUAUCCUUAUUCAUUUGGGUAGCACUUUAUUUUACAGUCCUGUUCCUCAUGUACAUACUAUGUACUUAUUAUAGUAAUUACAAUAACUAUGUAAUAACUAGGUACUAACCCUGAACCUACCCCUACCCCUAAACCUAACCCUAACCCAUGUAGUUACAUUGUAUUACCAGAACUUUCUUAGAUAAAUACACUGUAAGUACACUAUAAGUACAUGUAAGUACACAUACUGUAAAAUAAAGUGCAACCGUCAUUUGAAUAGGAAUUCAGUAAAUUCAUCUUCCUGUCAUUCUUAGUCAAAUUUCAAUUGACAAAUUCCUGACAAAUUCAAAAUCAUUUUAUGAACUGAAAAAGAUCUUGAUCUUGAGGCUAAUUUGAAUUUUGCUCAGAGCUGUU
rnacentral:lncRNA from 1 species